rnacentral:rRNA from 1 species
CUCAAAUCAGUAGGACUACCCGCUGAACUUAAGCGU